AUACGUAGGGUGCAAGCGUUAAUCGGAAUUACUGGGCGUAAAGCGUGCGCAGGCGGUUUUGUAAGACAGUGGUGAAAUCCCCGGGCUCAACCUGGGAACUGCCAUUGUGACUGCCAGGCUGGAGUGCGGCAGAGGGGGAUGGAAUUCCGCGUGUAGCAGUGAAAUGCGUAGAUAUGCGGAGGAACACCGAUGGCGAAGGCGAUCCCCUGGGCCUGCACUGACGCUCAUGCACGAAAGCGUGGGGAGCAAACAGGAUGAGAUACCCUGGUAGUCCACGCCCUAAAGGAUGUCAACUGGAUGUUGGGGAUUUAUUUUCUCAGUAACGAAGCUAACGCGGGAAGUUGACCGCCUGGGGAGUACGGCCGCAAGGUUAAAACUCAAAGGAAUUGACGGGG
rnacentral:rRNA from 1 species